AUUGAACGCUGGCGGCAUGCCUUACACAUGCAAGUCGAACGGCAGCACGGGAGCAAUCCUGGCGGCGAGUGGCGAACGGGUGAGUAAUACAUCGGAACGUGCCCGAUCGUGGGGGAUAACUACUCGAAAGAGUAGCUAAUACCGCAUACGAUCUACGGAUGAAAGCGGGGGAUCGCAAGACCUCGCGCGGACGGAGCGGCCGAUGGCAGAUUAGGUAGUUGGUGGGAUAAAAGCUUACCAAGCCGACGAUCUGUAGCUGGUCUGAGAGGACGACCAGCCACACUGGGACUGAGACACGGCCCAG
rnacentral:rRNA from 1 species